AGAGUUUGAUCAUGGCUCAGAAUCAACGCUGGCGGCGUGCCUAACACAUGCAAGUCGAACGAGAAAGUGGAGCAAUCCAUGAGUAAAGUGGCGACCGGGUGAGUAACACGUGACUAACCUACCCUAGAGUGGGGAAUAACCUCGGGAAACCGGGGCUAAUACCGCAUAACAUCACGAGGUGUAAAUUCCUUGUGAUCAAAGGAGAAAUUCGCUCAAGGAGGGGGUCGCGGCUGAUUAGCUAGUUGGUGAGGUAACGGCCCACCAAGGCUAAGAUCAGUAUCCGGCCUGAGAGGGCGCACGGACACACUGGAACUGAAACACGGUCCAGACUCCUACGGGAGGCAGCAGUGGGGAAUUUUGCGCAAUGGGGGAAACCCUGACGCAGCAACGCCGCGUGGAGGAUGAAGUCCCUUGGGAUGUAAACUCCUUUCGAUCGGGACGAUUAUGACGGUACCGGAAGAAGAAGCACCGGCUAACUCUGUGCCAGCAGCCGCGGUAAUAC
rnacentral:rRNA from 1 species